CGCUCUCUCUCUCGCCUGCAGCUCCCCCUUCCUUCCAAGCGUCGGCCAUUUUCGUCCACUCUUCGCUUGAGGUCGCGUGCGUGAUGAUCGUGGAUCAACCCUUCCGGCACCAUGCUUCAACUUUGGUACUUUCUUCUCAUUCAUUACUUCUUUUCUCAAGUUUUAGCAUACCCGACUUUCAAGGAACGGUCUCGCGUACGAGUUUUCGGAGUGCGUCAACCUUCAAUGGAUAUCGUGUCGCGUUUCGUUGGGAAGAAUGAACAAUCGCUGAGUCACUUGUUUCGGGUCUCUUCCUUUCCCGCGCAAUUUCGUGAAUUUGUUCGUCGAUUUUGUGUCGUUGGACUUUUUUACUGUUUCAAGUGUUUCAUGUGUAUUCUUGCCGUAAAGGGAGUGAUCGAUUUUUUUUCUUUUCAGUGUAUUCUCUGUGCUAGUGUUGUGAGUGCUUUCAGCCAGGCGUCGGGCAAAUGGAUAACCGUCUAUUGGUAUGUACCUAAUAAUUUUACUCUUCCCUUUUCUCCCUUUAUUUAUGAUCUAAUUGUU
rnacentral:lncRNA from 1 species